rnacentral:rRNA from 2 species
UGAGAGUUUGAUCCUGGCUCAGGAUGAACGCUGGCGGCGUGCCUUAGAUAUGCAAGUCAAGGGGGUCCGAUGCAAAUCGGACAACCGGCGGACGGGUGAGUAAUGCGUGGGAAUCUACCUGGAAAUGGGAUAUAGCUUGCCGAAAGGUGAGGUAAUCUCCCAUGUGACAGGUACAGUAUUGUACCUGUUAAAGACGUAAGUCGUUUUCAGAUGAGCCCGCGUCCUAUCAGCUUGUUGGUGGGGUAAUAGCCUACCAAGGCAACGACAGGUAGCUGGUCUGAGAGGAUGGUCAGCCACAACGGCACUGAGACACGGGCCGUACACCUACGGGUGGCGCAGUCGGGAAUUUUAGACAAUGGGCGAAAGCCUGAUCUAGCGACGCCGCGUGGAGGAUUGAAGGCCUUCGGGUUGUAAACUCCUUUUGCAAGGGAAGAUUAUGACGGUACCUUGCGAAUAAGCACCUGCUAACUACGUGCCAGAAGCCUCGGUAAUACGUAGGGUGCAAGCGUUAUCCGGAUUUACUGGGCGUAAAGAGUUGCGUAGGCGGUCUGAUGCAUCUUAUCUUAAAGACCACGGCCUAACCGUGGAUUUCGGUAAGAGAUGGUUAGACUAGAGGAAGUAAGAGGGCAUUGGAACCGAUUGUGGAGCAGUGAAAUGCGUUGAUAUGAUUGGGAACACCAAAGGCGUAGGCAGAUGCCUGGGACUUCCCUGACGCUGAGGCACGAAAGCUAGGGUCGCGAAGCAGAUUAGAGACCUGCGUAGUCCUAGCCGUAAACGAUGGAUGCUAGAUAGUCCGACGUACGUCGGACUGUCGCAAGCUAACGCGUUAAGCAUCCCGCCUGGGGAGUACGAGCGCAAGCUUAAAACUCAAAGGAAUUGACGGGGAGGCGCACAAGCAGUGGAGCAUGUGGUUUAAUUCGAAACAAAGCGAAAAACCUCACCAGGGUUUGACAUGUACUUGCAAGUCCCAUGAAAGUGGGAUUCCUUCGAGGGUAGUACACAGAUGCUGCAUGGCUGUCGUCAGCUCGUGGCGUGAGCUGUUUCCUUAAGUGGAUAAACGAGCGCAACCCGCACCGUAUGUUAAAUAAUUCAUGCGGAACAGGUCCGAUUUUCGGACAGGAAGGCGCGGAUGACGUCAAGUCAGCACGGCUCUUACACCCUGGGCUACACACAUCCUACAAUGGCGAACAACAACGAGUUGCAAACCGGUAACGGUAAGCUAACCUCUGAAAUUUCGCCUCAGUUCAGAUUGGGGUCUGCAAUUCGACCCCAUGAAGUCGGAAUUGCUAGUAAUCGCGAAUCAGCAGGUCGCGGUGAAUACGUUCUCGCCUCUUGUACACACCGCCCGUCGAAUAGGCGGCCUAAGGAUGAGAGUCUUUAGGUAAAAUCAGCUAAUAUCGGUGAACUCCGUUUAAACGGACAAUACCGAGGGAACCCUGUACCAGACGGUACUGGGGCACCGUAGAGACUUAUAUGGAAGGUACCAGAUAAUCUGGAUUUAAACUUCCAUUAUAUGCUGACCUCCACUUAUUAAUGGAGGAUGAUAUAGUCCAUACUGUUGGUGACAACAGAUUAAUAUGCAAGGCAGCAAAGUUGGGGGCACCCGAACAUCGGUAAACCGGUGGAAGGUGACACCAGCGAUGAAGCUUAAGUCGUUGAAACUAUAGGUUUCUUGCGACCUAAUCAAGUAAUUGGUUAGAAAAAUCCGACUGAAAUCGGUGAAGUCCUAUCUUGACUUCGGGUAACUUUCGGGUUAUCUUGGAGUAAGAGGAGAAUACCGAGGGAAGUCUGCGAUGCUUAAGCAAUAUACGAACAGUAAUUGGCUUAAAGAGAUAAAAAAGACAUUACUCUUGUCUCAAAUUCAAAGAGAUGUUCUGAUUGGAACAGUUCUUGGAGAUGGUUCACUAAAAAUCUCACGUUCUGGUAAGGCUGCUCAAUUGCAGAUCUGUCACUCAUUUUCUGCAAAAGAGUAUGUGUAUUGGAAACAGGAGAUUUUUGCUAAUUGGAUCUUUUGCGAACCAAGAUACUAUCAAAUCAAUAAUUCGUUGAUCUUUAGAACUGUGUCACAUCCUUUGAUAUUUGAGUAUAUGCAAAUGUUUUAUAUUAAUAAGGUUAAAAUUAUUCCUAAAAAUAUUAGUAAUAUUUUAACCAGUCCUUUUAGUUUGGCUGUUUGGUUUAUGGAUGAUGGUAAUGGUUAUCUAGAUCGAGGUGCAUACAGAAUUAGUACUUAUGCAUUUGGAUUAGAAGGUAACUUAUUACUCCAAAAUUGCUUAAAAGAAAAUUUUGGUUUAGAAGUGAGGUUACAUAAAGAUAGCAAAGGCUAUCAACUAUAUAUCCCUUACGGAAAUGGAAGUGCAACAAAGUUUAGAAAACUUAUAGCACCUUAUAUAAUUCCAAAGAUGAAAUAUAAAAUAGAGCGUCGCAGCCCCGUAGAGACUUAGAUGGAAGGUACCAGAUAAUCUGGAAUUAAACUUCUAUUAAACGUCGGCUCCCGAUGUACAUCGGGAUGAAGAUAUAGUCCAUGCCCUCAGUAAUGAGUGGAUAAACAUGAACAAGGUAUCCCUAGCCGAAGCUGGGGAUGGAUCACCUCCUU